rnacentral:tRNA from 1 species
GGUGGCUCAGUGGUAGAGUGCUUGCUUUGCAUGCAUGAGGCACUAGGUUCGAUUCCUCAGCACCA